rnacentral:rRNA from 1 species
AACGAACGCUGGCGGCAUGCCUAACACAUGCAAGUCGAACGAGACCUUCGGGUCUAGUGGCGCACGGGUGCGUAACGCGUGGGAAUCUGCCCUUGGGUUCGGAAUAACAGUGAGAAAUUACUGCUAAUACCGGAUGAUGUCUUCGGACCAAAGAUUUAUCGCCCAGGGAUGAGCCCGUGUAGGAUUAGCUAGUUGGUGGGGUAAUGGCCUACCAAGGCGACGAUCCUUAGCUGGUCUGAGAGGAUGAUCAGCCACACUGGGACUGAGACACGGCCCAGACUCCUACGGGAGGCAGCAGUGGGGAAUAUUGGACAAUGGGCGCAAGCCUGAUCCAGCAAUGCCGCGUGAGUGAUGAAGGCCUUAGGGUUGUAAAGCUCUUUUACCCGGGAUGAUAAUGACAGUACCGGGAGAAUAAGCUCCGGCUAACUCCGUG